rnacentral:lncRNA from 1 species
UGGGCUCUUGUACUGAACAUGACCGUUUUGCCACAACCUUUCUCUUAUUUUUCUUUUCCGCCUUUGAGAUCUUGUGGCAUUGGUUUUUCGAUAUCAGUCUUUCGGAGAUAUCUAUUCAAUUGUAGUAUAUGUCUAUAUCCAUUCAUUUUCAGUUCGUCCAGGAACAUAUAUAUUAACGGUAGAUAUACUGUUCUCAGGUUCCUCCUAAUAUUUGAAAUCUUUUCCGUAAAUGCAGAUUUAAUUCCGGUGCCACAACAUAUCUUAAUUUACUUUUUUGUUUCUGAUUUAUCCUCUGUCAAUAGUUUUGAUUGAACUAUGGAAAUAAAUAGCUCCUUAUCGUUGCCAACAUCAACACCUCUAAAGGCUAUUUAUAUUAUGAGGGGGAGGACAGGGGGUACCCUUCUCCCUUCUCCCACCCCUCUUCUCCUUUCUCCUACCCCGUUCUCCUUUCUCCCAUUAGAAUAAAACAUCUCCUUUUGAGAUAUUUUUUCUUGAAAUAUUAGAUAAUUUUUUAAAAGGAGAGAUAUUUUAGUUUUUCUCCUUUCUCCAACUUUUUCUCCUUUCUCCCAGCCUUCCUCUCCUUUCUCCUACCCCUUUCUCCCUGUCUCCCUUACCCCUGUCCUCCCCCUCUAUUAUGUUACAUCCCUAAUUAGAGAUUGUCUUAACCUUUCAGUAAUAAAUUUUGAUGUAAUCG